AUUGAACGCUGGCGGCAGGCCUAACACAUGCAAGUCGAGCGGGGUUUUCGGACCUAGCGGCGGACGGGUGAGUAAUGCGUAGGAAGCUGCCCGAUAGAGGGGGAUACCAGUUGGAAACGACUGUUAAUACCGCAUAAUGUCUACGGACCAAAGUGUGGGACCUUCGGGCCACAUGCUAUCGGAUGCGCCUACGUGGGAUUAGCUAGUUGGUGAGGUAAUGGCUCACCAAGGCGACGAUCUCUAGCUGGUUUGAGAGGAUGAGCAGCCACACUGGAACUGAGACACGGUCCAGACUCCUACGGGAGGCAGCAGUGGGGAAUAUUGGACAAUGGGCGCAAGCCUGAUCCAGCCAUGCCGCGUGUGUGAAGAAGGCCUUCGGGUUGUAAAGCACUUUCAGCGAGGAGGAAGGGGUGUGUGUUAAUAGUACACACCUUUGACGUUACUCGCAGAAGAAGCACCGGCUAACUCUGUGCCAGCAGCCGCUGUAACAC
rnacentral:rRNA from 1 species